rnacentral:lncRNA from 1 species
GUGAUGGAGAGCUGAUUGGCCGAGUGAUGAAGAAGCUGGUAUUUGGAAUUUUUUAAAGCUGUACAAGAGGGAAAUAGAGCUGUUAUGAGGAAAGAUAUCCGAUGAAUCGUUGGCCUCUACCCAGUAGAUGCCAGAAGCACUGCCCCGCUUUCUACAUUUGGCACAAUCAAAACUAUCUCCAGACAUUGUCCUAUCUCCACGGGAAGGUCAUUAAUUUGAAUCUAGCCUCUAGCAGAAAUAACCCAGAAUUAUUGUAUUGGAUUCAUAUAAGCUUUCACGGGAAACUGUUUGCUGGAGUUCUAAUGGAAAAACACCCAUAUCAUCCACCAAUACCAUAAUGAACAACAAGGAGGUAAUAAAAAGAGAUCUGUGCUUUCCAAAAAAAGCACUGGGGCAUAAGGCCAGAAUUCUGCUUAGGUUUGGCCAUUUGGAAAUAUUCUCCUCUGUGACAUCAAUCCAUAAUUGAGUAAUAAGGAUGAUAUUAAUAGAGAAUGACAAUAGAAUUUCUUCUAAGGGAUUUUUGCUGAUAAUAAAGAUUUAAGAAGCCAU